UACGAAGGGGGCUAGCGUUGCUCGGAAUCACUGGGCGUAAAGGGUGCGUAGGCGGGUCUUUAAGUCAGGGGUGAAAUCCUGGAGCUCAACUCCAGAACUGCCUUUGAUACUGAAGAUCUUGAGUUCGGGAGAGGUGAGUGGAACUGCGAGUGUAGAGGUGAAAUUCGUAGAUAUUCGCAAGAACACCAGUGGCGAAGGCGGCUCACUGGCCCGAUACUGACGCUGAGGCACGAAAGCGUGGGAGCAAACAGGG
rnacentral:rRNA from 1 species